rnacentral:lncRNA from 1 species
AGCAGCUGUUGAGUCAGAAGGCUCCAGACUCAAGAAGAGAGAGUGUCUUAGGCGCAAGAGCAGACACUGUGGGAACUCCAAGACAUGCAUGAGCCUGUCUUCUCUGAGCUGUUCAUUAGAAUCCCUAUCACUGGCAUUAACAAGGGAAAGGAUGGACCCUAUGCCAGGCCCUAUUAAUGGGAAAAUGGUGAAGACAGAAAGAAAUGGCAUUCUGGAACCAGAUAAACCUGACUUCAAAUCCAAGACCUUGGGCAGGUCAGAGCCUCCAACUUCCUGUGAACUGAAACUAGGACACCUGCCUCCUGGUCCUAGUGGACCAUUCCAUACAGAAGGGGGGCUGCCUGCUGGGUGGAUAAAAACAUAAAAUUAGAUCAUGGGGAUGGAUGCACAAUGUGAACAUAUUAAAAGCACUGAACUGUACUUAAUAAUGAAGUUGCAUUCUGAGAAAUAGUGCUUACACAAGCUAAGAUGGCAAUGACACCACCAGACAAUAUAAUCUGAGGGGACCCGCCUCAUAUAUGCAUGCAGUCCAUUGUUGACCACACAUUUGUUUGUUAGGUAGCACAUAACUAUACUUUGAAUAGAGUAUGGUUCCAGACAGGUCAGUAAAGGGCAGUUCUGACUCUGGAGACAGGCAGAGGAGGGAGGGGACCCCUCAUGAUGUGCUGAGCUCAGCUGYUCUCCUCUGGGUCUCCUGCUUCCCAGAGAGCCAAGUAUAAGACCUCAGGGCACUGGGCACUGACUCUGGCAUCCUCCUCCAUUCACUGCAGAGAGCAGUGCAAUGAAUCCAAGGCCAAAGCUAGGCCAAUGUGCAACAACCUGCCCGCCAUGGCAGGAUCCUGAGAGGGUGGUAGCAGGAUACAGACCUGCUAGCUACAGCAACUACAAUAGAAUCUGAGGGAAAACUAUUCUCACUUGAAAAUGUCCUAUACAUUGCAACCAUGGGUACCAGCCAUGCACCUGUGAUCUGUCCCCUUGCAGAAUACCACCAGCAGAUUUACUGCCAAGCCGUUAUGGAGGCAAAGUCCAGGAGUAGGGCGGGUACUCUGAUGCUCCUGCCCCAUUGUGAUAGUCAACCUGGCUGGCUCUCCAUGUAUGUGUGCUCUCCUAGAGCCUGAGGAUAGGCAACAGGGGAUGAGGCAGAGAGAUGACAGAAAAGACAGGGCCCAAAGGGAUGUUCUGAAAUUCCAGUUCCACAGAGUCUGCCAAAGCAGUGUUUCUCAGAUUUUCUGGUCUCGGGACUCCUUUACAUUUGAUUACUGAGGACCACAAAUAGAUUUUGGUUUUUUUGAGCUAUUAUCUAUGAAUAAAAUAUUAGAAAUACAAAAUAAGGAACCA